AAACCGAGUCAACAACAACAACAAAAACAGCCCAAGAGAAGUUACCUGUUCAACUCGUCGACCUUAAAUAUCUUUAUGAGCGAAAGGACAAAAAGAAGAGGGGAUUUGCGUGCUCUGUGCCCUGCACUCACCAGCUGCUCCUGGCUCUUUAUCUGGUCCUCGGCUUGCCUGACCAGCUCCUCCUUGGCUAUAAUGGCCUCCAUCCUCUCGGUCUCCAGCCGCGCCGCCUCCUGCUCCACCUUCCUCCUCUCCUCCUCCAGCCUCACGCCCCGCUCCAGCUGCUCUUGAAGCUCUGCGCGACAAAGUCAGCGAAACACAGGGAGGUGUGUGUCAAGUACUGCGUGGUGUUAAAGCACAGGGUGAUGAAUGACUGAUGAUUUUAUGUGUUGUGAAACAACACAUUUGUUCAACUUAAGGGAGAGUUAACAGUUUUUUGGCUGCUUGUGGACCCAUAAAAUGAACUUGUGACCCCUCAAGUUAAUAGAUGUUUAAUUUGAGUAAUAAAUAUAUGAGUUAUUCUGA